rnacentral:rRNA from 1 species
UACGUAGGGGGCGAGCGUUGUCCGAAGUUACUGGGCGUAAAGCGCGCGUAGGCGGCCACUUAAGUCUGGGGUGAAAGGUUCAGCGCUCAACGUGAACAGUGCCUUGGAUACUGGGUGGCUUGAGUCUGGGAGAGGGUAGUGGAAUUCCUGGUGUAGCGGUGAAAUGCGUAGAUAUCAGGAGGAACACCUGUGGCGAAAGCGGCGCACUGGACCACAACUGACGCUGAGGCGCGAAAGCUAGGGGAGCAAACAGG